rnacentral:misc_RNA from 1 species
CGCACCUUGCGCCCCUUGGUAUUCCGAGGGGCAUGCCUGUUUGAGUGUCUUGAAAUCAUCAAACCGAACCGGUCUUUGUUGCCGGCGCGGUUUGGACUUGGGGGCUCUGCUGCCGCGAGGCGGCUCCCCUUAAAUCGAUCGGUCGGGCUUUCGUGCGGCUCUGUCCCUUGGCGUUGUAUUACCCUCGUCGCUGGAUGGCUCGCGAUAAUGCGCCCUUCUUCGACCUGCCUCUGGAGUGGCGGUCUUCAACAUUUUGUGAUCUGACCUCAAAUCAGGUAGGACUACCCGCUGAACUUAA